CCUACGGGGGGCAGCAGUGAGGAAUAUUGGUCAAUGGACGAGAGUCUGAACCAGCAAAGUAGCGUGAAGGAUGACUGCCCUAUGGGUUGUAAACUUCUUUUAUAUGGGAAUAAAAUGUUCCACGUGUGGGAUUUUGUAUGUACCAUAUGAAUAAGGAUCGGCUAACUCCGUGCCAGCAGCCGCGGUAAUACGGAGGAUCCGAGCGUUAUCCGGAUUUAUUGGGUUUAAAGGGAGCGUAGGUGGAUUGUUAAGUCAGGUGUGAAAGUUUGCGGCUCAACCGUAAAAUUGCAGUUGAAACUGGCAGUCUUGAGUACAGUAGAGGUGGGCGGAAUUCGUGGUGUAGCGGUGAAAUGCUUAGAUAUCACGAAGAACUCCGAUUGCGAAGGCAGUUCACUAGACUGCAACUGACACUGAGGCUCGAAAGUGUGGGUAUCAAACAGGAUUAGAUACCCGAGUAGUC
rnacentral:rRNA from 1 species